rnacentral:rRNA from 1 species
AGGACGAACGCUGGCGGCGUGCCUAACACAUGCAAGUGGAGCGACGAACCAGGCUUCGGCCUGGGGCAGAGCCGCGAACGGGUGAGUAACGCGUGGGAACAUACCCUUCGGUUCGGAAUAGCUCAGGGAAACUUGGAUUAAUACCGGAUACGGACGAGAGUCGAAAGAUUUAUCGCCGAAGGAUUGGCCCGCGUUCGAUUAGCUAGUUGGUGUGGUAACGGCGCACCAAGGCGACGAUCGAUAGCUGGUCUGAGAGGAUGAUCAGCCACAUUGGGACUGAGACACGGCCCAAACUCCUACGGGAGGCAGCAGUGGGGAAUAUUGGACAAUGGGCGCAAGCCUGAUCCAGCCAUGCCGCGUGAGUGAUGACGGCCUUAGGGUUGUAAAGCUCUUUCGCUAGGGACGAUAAUGACGGUACCUAGACAAGAAGCCCGGCUAACUUCGUGCCAGCAGCC